UUGCAAGAUAUGUUUUCAGUAACAACAUGCAAGUAGAUAUUAUAUGAUUACCCAGCAUCAAGAAAUUGUUAUAGCGAAAAUGGAAGAUUUACCAGCUUUUGUUCAGCCAGCCCCAGCAUUAAACUCCUCGAAAUAAAGCAAGUUAGAUGUGUAUGAACAACAAUAACAUUCUGCCGAGAUCAAGAGGUUAGAGUUCAAAUGAUCUUUGGAUCACAAUUUAAGUGUCUAAAUAAAUCAAUGUUUUGCUUAUCUAUUAGCCUUAGAUCCUAAUUUUCUUCUUCUUUCUGAUAAAUCUAUAAUUAGAUCAUUAGAAGGCAAAGAGGUGAUUUAGAUUGAUUAGUUUUGUUGAAGUAGAUUUCAUCCACAACUUAACUGUGUAAGCUCAUACAUAUUGUUUACCACAGAGCUUUGAGAAAACCAAAUUUCUUGCAGCUUUCUUAAUUAGUAUGUGUUGAUUUAUGCAAUUUCUAGGGCUUUCAAAAUCAUUAUGCCUGCUUCUCAAGGCAGCUGUGAUAAUUUUGGAUCAUGUUUUAGCAUUAUGGCAUAUUUCUGAAUCGAUAAUAUUACAAUAAAAUUGCAAAGCCAGCCAUUUAUCUCAAUGGUGGCAUAACUUUUGUGAGAGAUUCUCAACUGGAUAUGCUGUGUUCCUAAUUCAAUAAAUUCAUUCCUUACAAGGCUAGCAAACAAGGGAGGUGGUCGGUGACUGGUGACGACUGUGAGGUUACACAAAACCAUACUCUAAGAUUCUCAUCCUGAAUUGAUUAAUUGAGAGAACUUGAAUGAGUUAUUAUCAUAUAAAACAAUGACUUACAACGGAUGAGCGAAGGGGAUGGUUUUGACAAACACAAACUAAUCCAAAGACUUCCUUCAGAAACAAUAAGCAUCUAUAAUGUUUUCUCUCCAAAUACAAAACCGUACAUUCUCAUAUAGUUGAUUAGCAUUACUUAUCAAAAAAUGAUAACAAAUGAUUAGUGCCAGCUCCAAAAUAACUUGAAUUGAUUAAGCCUUUUCUAAAUUCAGACAGCAAAAAUGUUCUCGCCAGCUUGAAAAUGAAGAGCAAUGAGAGAAUUACUCACAAAUCAGAAAGGGAUGAUUGAUUCUCCUUCUCGAGUCUGAUUUCUCCGCGGAGCCCUAAAGAAUAUCCUCGAACGAGAACAAUCCACUACCCUAAUGUUGUGUUUCGUUGGUGGGGAUGGAAUGGAAUUCCCUUGGGUUUUCUAGGCGAACCUCCUUCCCCUCGUUUCUUCACUAUUAUCAUUU
rnacentral:lncRNA from 1 species